rnacentral:rRNA from 1 species
CUACGGAGGGUCCGAGCGUUAUCCGGAACCAUUGGGUUUAAAGGGUCCGUAGGCGGGAAUCUAAGUCAGUGGUGAAAUCUUGCAGCUCAACUGUAAAAUUGCCAUUGAUACUGGAUUUCUUGAAUUAGUGUGAAGUGGUUAGAAUGUGUAGUGUAGCGGUGAAAUGCAUAGAUAUUACACAGAAUACCAAUUGCGAAGGCAGAUCACUAACACUAUAUUGACGCUAAGGGACGAAAGCGUGGGGAGCGAACAGGAUUAGAAACCCUUGUAGUCC